GAAGUCUGUCUUAUCUUGCUGUGAGGGAAACGGAGGUAGCUGAACUGAAGUUCCUCAUUUAUCAACCAGUAUGUUGACGUACUAGUGAUACAGGGGGAUGUUACGGACUGGUCUGAAGGGAAUAGAGGCUGUCUACUAAUGGUUGUUGGAGCUGACCAGGUUGAGUGAAACCAAGUGCUUAUCAGCACCGGUGCAACCUAGCUAGAACUCGAAUGAAAUCUGCUAGCACGCUGUGGAGGAUAGCGCAACACCGGUAAGAAGCCCGCGUCAUCCAAGCACCUUUACCACUUCCUGUUGAUAAGGU